UUUCAUCAGAGACCACUUCAUUCCUCGGAUAUAAGAUUGAGACGUCCACACGUGUUCUGAGAUGUGUUUUUAAAACUGAGAUUUACAGAAACUGUGCUGCUCUGGUAAACAUCGGGGGACAUGACGAGUUUCCAGGACUGACACGCAGAAGAAAAACUGAACUGAUCUUUUUGUUGGAGACCGUAAAAGAGGAAAUGAUUGAACACUUUGAUAACUGAAGGGCUCAAAACUAUGAACGAAGACUGAAUUGAUGUUGGUCCAUCUUGGUCACCAUCAUUUACUGGAUGAAUUCAGUAUUGUCAGUAAAUUAAAAAAUCUUUUCUAUUUCCAGCAGAUUUGAUGCUA